CUUGACAACAACACACUUCCUCGAAGACUUCGACAUCUCCAUCUCCGACAACCAACGUCAUCUCUUUCUCAUCUCGUGAAAUAAACACCACUGCCGGAUUCCAACCUCCUCCGGCGAACAUACGACUUUGUUCCCGUCAGCCAUCGUCUCCUCCUUUCUGCACCGCGCUCUCUUGUUCUCGACAUGGAGAAGAUGGAGCUUGCCUUUCGAUGACAAAAUCAAACUCAGAUUCCGACUACUUUGAUGGCUACCUCCGGCGAAAGCAACUGCAAACCUUCACCUUUUCUUGGUUGCUCCCCGUUCUGGUGAAACAAGAGACUUCUCUUCGUCUCUCAUCCAUGCCUCUUGUCCGUGACACAUCACAACAUCACAGUCAUCUUCACCAUCAAUUAACUCCGGCUGCGUUUAACUCCGCCGAAUCGGACCACCACCAUCACCGCUCAACUCAUGUCUCCAUUGGUGAGCUCCACCUCUUCUCCGAUGAGGCUUUUCCGGCGAAUCCGGCCAUUGAUCAUCUGCAAAUCUCAGGUUUCUUCCGACGAUCUCCAUCUUCCACUGUCACUUCUAGCACUUUUAUUCCCCAAUUUCUAUUGCCUUUAGGCUGUAGCUGCUCCAUCUCAAUUUCUGGGUUUUGCACGAGAACCCUUAAUCCCUCCUUUUUUUUUUGUUUCUCGCUGAAACUUUCAUGAGCUACUCCACCUGGAACCUAUCACUUUCUAACACGGCUCCAAAAUAUUCCGAGGUAGCUUCUUCCCAGUACUUUUUUCAAAUCUAUCCUGCAAGAUCAAGUCACAAACACUAGGACUGUUUCUCCAAUGAACAACGAAGCCUUUCAUCUGUUAAGAUGAACUCCGCAGCUCCUAACUCGGAUUUCUUGAAUCUUCAUCACAUAAACUCCACAUGGAAUCAGAAUCUGCAGCUCAGGUCAACUGAUUCUCCACAUCUCCACCUGGAAUAUAAGUCUCCUCACCGUAUUUCCAGGCGCCUACAGUGGAGUUACCUGGACGAUGUUGAGGAGAUCAUAACAGGCAUGAAAGUCCUUUCCAGGUAUUACUUGAGUCAUAACAUCUGUUGGAUCAAUUGUUUUUAGUAUCUUGUUUAGGACAGCCUCUCCUUUAGAUACCAAAUCUGUGAUGAUCUGAAAACCUUGUGUCCAUAAGUUUGGUUCCCGAUUCCUUCCCUUCUGUAGUUAAGCUCGUUAAUCUGAAAUGAGAUGUUGUUGGUACCAACUACUGUAGCUUCAUACAUUUUGAAAGUCUUAGCUUCCUUUUCCUGACUUUCUUGUAACAGAGCUAGAACUCCCUUAGCUUUAUCUCUGUUAACCUCCAUUCCCUGAAUCCUUGAAGCUUUUUCCAACUCUUUCAUUUCAACUUUAACGUGUCCCCUUUCUUAAUGAUACUUUCUGGCAUCGUAAUCCUUUCAUCCUUCAUUUUACUAUCACACAACAUCCACUCCUUGUUUUGAUCUCUCAACAGUGGCUGUCAUCAGAAGGUCCUUCACUUUUCUCAGAUUUAACCUCCUCUAAACAAUCUGAUUCUUCUGUUGAGGAUUCAUCUCCACCUUGAACUGAUGAUUCCAAAGCCAUAUGGAGUAGGUCCUUUGAAUUAAAUUCACGCUGAAAGUCACCUUCCUUGACUUCUUCUUCCUCACUCCAACUACAGCCUUGACAACACUUUUUCCACCAUUUUCAGCAUGUGGUACACUCUUUUCAGCCUUAACAACCAUGCCUUCAAGAUAGUAAAGCCCUUCGUGAUAUUUCCCAGAUAUCACUUUCUUACCAUCUUUGUAGAAAAUCAUGGAAAAAAUUAUAGAAGAAUAAUAUCUUUUAUUUUAUACGUUAUACAUGUGAAGCAUGGAACAACAUUAUUACAAUCCACUUUCAUAUGGAAUUCGACUUUCUUUCAGCCAAGUUUCUCCAUCUAAGAGCUUGGCUACAGUGAAUUCUGUAGCCUUUUUAGGAUCUUUCAUAACUUUAAAUCCUGACCACUUCACCCUUCUGCUAGUCACAGCUCCCGGACCCCUAUUUUGAUAUUCGCGGUAGUGGAGAGUUGAUAGACCAGUUUCUCCUUUCCAAGGAGUCCAGCCUGCGGGAUCAACUAAAUCACCGAUGAAAGAUUGCAGAACCGCGACUGUUGAAAAUCUCCUCCAAGGUCUUCCAAGAUACGUUUUUACGGUUGCUGUAUCUAGAUCCGAACUUGUUGUGAUGUUGCAGUUUUGAAUUGAGAAGCCCGAUUUGACGUCCUUAGUCGCGCGUGAUUGAGCGGUUAUGACAUUGCUCUGCCCCAUCUUAGGCUGUCUUGCUACAAUCUGGCAGAAUUGAAAGACCGCCACCGCGUUUCCACAUAUAAAAUCUACAGUGCCGGUAAUAAAGCACUCCCUAUAAAACUGGCGGUCACUAUGAGGAUACAAGGCAUCCUGAUAUCCCUCGACACGACAUCUAUAAAUGACGGACAUAUCACCACUCACACGGAGGGCAACAGCUGGUCCUUUUGCCGGUCCGGCCGUGUUUCGAAAGCACAUGUCUACUCCGAUGAAUCCAUUACCAUUAGAAGCUUCAAACAUAUUUUUAGAAUAAUUAGUAAUGUCUUUAAGAAUGUUAUAGUUUGGUAUAAAGAAGAGAAAACUAUAAACUAUUCAAGAAGAGAAUACAAAUUCUUACCAACAGUUGCGGUGUUGUACGUUCUUCUAACAUUGCUAGCGCUUAAAUUGCCUGUGAUGAUGGUUAAAUCUUGACCAUCACCUAUAAGAGUUAAAUUGGGUUUCGUAUUCUCAAUGACGACGAUUUCAUCAUAAAUGCCUGUCUUUAUAUAGAUGACGAAUCUCUUUUGGCUGUGUUGAGGUGCCGCUGCAAUGGCCGCAUUCACUGUGCUGUACUUUCCGGUCCCAUCCUUCGCGACCACAACAUCAGCAAUCUUCUUUAGAGCCUGCUUUAUAAGAAACAGAAGAAAUUCUAUAAGCAGUAGAAAGAAAGAAAAAAAAGGAUAAAAGGUUUGUUAAGAGGGUCAAACAUAUCGAUCGAAUUGUGUUCUUCAUUACGUGACCUUAAGGUCUAUUUUUAUACAAGGGCUGAUCUCUAAGGAAAAGGAAUUAUCUACCUAAAAGUAAUUACAAUAAAAGGUAAAUAUAAAAAUCCUAAAUAUUUGUUACUUGAGUAUCAAGUAAAUCCUUAAUAUGGGUUUUCACGAUUAUCAAAUUAUAACUUCAAAAUAUAAAGGUUCUGUUUUAUUACCUCAGCAUUGAGAUAUAGAUCUUUCUUGUCAACAUGGAAUAACCAAGAAGGGCCAUUGGGAAUCACCGAGAUAAGUUCGGUGUUGUCUCUCAGUGAAAUGGAGAUAAAAAGAGCCAAAACUACUCUUGCCCUAGAAAUGAGGUUUUCAAGCUUUGGCUCGACCCGGCGUUUAUAGGCACCUUCACCAAUUUCGUCGAUACAUGUGAUGUAGCUAGUAAGAACGCUACUAAGCCAAGUGUGGGAAUUCUCCUCCUAAGAGUUCCUCCACUGAAUGGAUCAUCCUAUCUUUUACCGACUCCAUCAUCUCCUCAAAUAGAUUUGUGUCCUCCUUCACACCAAGCAUAUCAUUCUCCAUCUCUUCAUGUUGUUUUGUAUCAUCCAUCACACCAAUCAUAGCCAUGUCGAUCCUCCGUACGGAAUUCUUCAAAACGAUGAUCAAUAAGUCACGACGUCUAAUCUCCGAGAGUGACGAUGAACCCGCCUUAAGCUCCAACAAAAGGUUUUGACAUGACUGUUUGUCAUCACAAUAUUCUUUGCUAACGCCAAUUACCAUUAUUAUCAUAAGGAUGAAAAAAGAGAAAACUUUAACCAACAUUUUUGUAUUUAUUUCUUCUCUCUUAAUUACUGAAUUUAUAUUAUCUUAACUGAUGAAAGAGGAGGGAGCGAUGGUGGUCUUAUAUACAAAGCAAAGCAACUUAAUCAAUUUAUCCUUUAAUUAAUUGUAUUCGAUAAACGACAAUAUUUAGGAAAAAAACUUUAUUUUGAGAUCAAUCUAAAAAUUUAGUGCAAUGUGAAUUGAAGAUAUAAUUCAGUGAAGUUUGGUUUUAUUAUCCACAAAGAACAGAAAAGAAAAGUGGUCCAUAUUUCAGCUCAUAAAAGAUAGAAAGAAUUGUCUUAGAGUAAUUUAGUUGAAAUACUUGUUACCCAAUGUACUCUAAAUGGCUUAAAAAAAAAUGAAUUUGGUAGAAAUUGGUUUCAUCUAUUUUUGUUUAUGCUAACAACAAUACAAUAUAUUCUCAACCUUAAUCUCUUGUGAGGAUGAGACUUAGCCAUUAUUGUUUUAGUACUAGAAAAGACAAUAUACACCUAAUAAAUAGAAAACCCUUAGAUUUAUUUUUGGGCGAUAGAAAAGAUGUUCUUUUUUUCUUUUUGGUUCAUUCUAUCGGUUGUUACGCAAUUCACUCUCAACUUUCACUACGUUACAAUGUUUACCCGAAAAGAUACACUCUCAUAACUUGUCAUUCCUCCGUAAAAAAAUGGUACUGUAAUUUUGACAACUUUGAAUGAAUCUUAUGCAGCUCUUGUAUCUGGAAUCGAUCUCUUCUUUGAGAUUUUUAGAAUUGGUAAAAGAACAAGAAAGCUUUAGAUGUGCUGCGUAGAGCUGUAACUAAAGAUGGUGGUCAUUGCUUUGGAUGCUAAAUGAUGUGGAGAAGAAUCAAUUUCCUUCGGAUUGUUCUUGAAAAGGGUUUAGUAGUCUGUUUUUGCGGAUGCUGAUGUGAUGUGGUUCAUGAACUAAUUUGCUUCUCAAUGCUUUCUUAUGAUUUCUUUGUUGAGUUGCAUUUGACUGAGAACUCUCGUGAGAUGCUUCACAUACUUAUAAAGUCUCAGUCUGCUUGGCAUGGAAUGGUAUUGUAUAUCAGAAGACAAUUCAAUAUGGAGAUUGAUGUUGUAGUAAUUGUUGCGUAGGCUUCUUUUUUAUGCUUGUGUCUUUUCUAUAUUGUUGUUACGACGAUGUUACAACGGUUCUCAAAACGACGUCAUUAUUUUUGUGUCAUUUAACAACCGACGUUAUCAUCAAUAUAUAUUCCGAAAAUUCACGACUGAUGAAUGCUCUACUUAU
rnacentral:lncRNA from 1 species